GGGAUCCCCGUGCCAAAUAGAGCCAAAACUAUCUUAGAUCGAAGGUUCCUGGCUUACAGGGAUUUGAUGUAAGUUAAGAACCUCCGCUCUAAGCUAGUAUGGCUAUCAUCAACGGCCC
rnacentral:ncRNA from 2 species